UUGUAAUUUAUGUAAAUGUACUUUAGGCCGAGGUGUAUAAAAUUGUUUAGCUCUAAACUGGUUUAAGGGUGGUUUUGCAGAAGGAGUUGUGUAAAAUUUUAAGCUUCAAAUAAGGCUAGAUACAAUAUCACCACACAUUAUGUACUUCCUUUUUCAACAUUUUUCAACAUCAAGUUUAUUUAUCUUAAAAAAAUAAGUUUUUAUCUUAAAUCAUCCUUUGUCUUCUAAACAGAUUUUUAUAACGCUGCGUUUGUUGGUAAAUUUAUUAGUAUUAGUAGAAUAAGUCCACAGAAACGAUUGUUAUACAGGGUGAUUCUUAAAUAGACCGACACAAUUUUAUCAGAGCUUUCCACGGAUAAGUAGAGACGAUCUGCAGCACAUUUACGCUUUUAUUUCGUAUUGGUAGAAAUCCCCUUAAUCCGUGCCAGUUACGGCGCUUAUGAGUUUAAAUUAGUUGUAUUGGAAAAAAAUGUGCUCGUUUUCAUCACGAAUAUCGAUAAUACACAGUGAUCAUUGUUGCAUUGAUCAAGUACAUUGUUAUCAAAUGAAUAUCGUGCUUUCUACUAACUGUACUAAUACUACUUUUAGGAGAGUAUAUCAGUGGCGUACGCUUUAUCUUCAACAUAAAUUUAAAUAUUUUUAUUUCGAAAAUGGUGAUUUUUAUUUUUUACUAUUUUUCCCAGCAUGUAUUUAUUUGAUACUAUCAUGGGUAAAAGUUUGUCGGUCUAUUUAAGAGUGACGCUGUAUUAUAAUCAAAGUAACGAUUGUUUUUAACUAUUCAUUAAAUUCAACCAACGUUGGUGAAACCGACACUAAAUGGUACAUUUUGACACCAUAGUGACAUUUGUAAUGUCAUGCGUUGUUGAGUUGUAACAUCAUUUUAAGUUUUUCUUUAUGACAUUUUUGUUUACUACUACACAUCUUUGUUUAAUUACUACACAUCUUAAUUUUUUUGCUAAUAAGAAAAAAAUUAUAAAAAUGAAAUCUAAAAUAAAGAAAAUAUGUUUAUAAUAUAAAAAAAUACUGCCAAUUAAUCACAGAAGGUUUUAUCUUCUUGUUCUUGCCUUAUCUUAUAAAAGGAAAUUGUUUUUUAUAUCUUUUUUCAAUAAUUAGCAUGAAAACACUUAAUAUGAAAUCUAAACACAUAAAAUAAACAAAAAAUAUUUACCUUUUAUUAAAUAACACAAGAACAAAAACAUAAGGCUCUUUGUAUAAAACUUUCAAAACCUUUUUUAGUUAAUUGGUUUUAUUUUCUUCUUUUUUAAUUUUUUUUGCUUUAUUUUUUUGAUUUUUCCUACGUAUAUUUACCAAAAAGAUAACGAGUAUACUAUCUAAAACGGUAAUCAAAAAAUUACUCAAAAACAAAUGCGUAUAAAUAUCAGUAUGGUGUUAAAAUGUAACAUUGGAGUUUUUUUUUUAAAUGACUAAUAAGAAAGAUACAUAUGAAUUUUGUGCAUUACUUUUGGUUCAGUUGCCUCUAUUUGUAUCCGUCUAAGCCUCAGAACCUAGAAGUAUUGUGUCUUCUAGUAUCUAGAUCAUUUUUUGGAAUUCUUUUAAUAGAAAAGGUUGAAGAGAAGAGUCUCUGUCGGGACUAUUUUGCUCAAAAUUAAGAUAAAAUAGUAGUGGUAUAACUAAUAUGGUAUUUCAAUUCCAAAAUGGUUGUCAUCUUUAAAUUAAAUUAUAGGAUGGUAGGUGCAUUUAUUAUAUCUUUUGGCAAGUUAUUCCAAUCAUUAAUUAAAAUUGGUCGAAUAUUAGUUUUAAAUUUGGGUUUCAAGAGAAUCAAGAGAAUCUCCACAAAGCCUACUAUCAAUUCUGAGAAAAAACAUAAUUAUAUUUUAUAGAAGAAACCUAUAGAAGAAGCACUUUUCCUUUUAAACUUUAAUCGUUCGUAAUAAGAUCACCUCUUUUGAUUCUAGGUUCUAUAGAGAUAAGCUUCAUGCGCUUUAAUCUAGAGUGAUCAGAAGGACUGUCUCAAAGGAUCUCUCUCAAACUGAUGAAUCAGUGCCAUCUUUCUUAUUUUAUAUACCUUUUUACACAAUUGCGCUCUAUUUGAUUGUUUACCACGUCUGUUUCCAAGACAAUACGUGGUGUUUACUCGUUGUUAUGUCCAAGGCGUCGGUAAGUAAGUUUGUCGACGCCUUGGACGUAGCAACCGGUAAACAAAACCUGCUGCCUUGACAAUUAUUUUGACAUUAUUCAAUAAAUCUUUAAAAAAAAUUAAGGAUUGUGCAAAAAACGUCAUAAGCACCAUGAACGUAAUUAUUAUUAUGAUUACGAUCUCAAACAAUAAUAAAACAAUUUGUCUUCGAUCGGUAAAAUCUCUUUACGUUCUUGAUACUUAAUAUAUUAUUUUUAUUGUAUUUUUUGAUUAGUCCAGUUAUUUUGAUGGAGUUUUCAUUAGCUUUCUCUAUAAACAAGAUUAGCCUUUUUCAAGAUAUUUCUACUUAAAAAAAUGAUUUGCACGCUCCUAAAAAUUAAUAACUAUCUUAUUUUUAAAUAUUUUGAAAUGUAUUUGGGAGUUCGAAAAAGGAAGCUUAAAUCUCUUCCUAGGUGUUUUUACAUUUCUAAAAAGUAAACAAACCACAAAUUUUUAAAAGGUUGUUUGCAAAACAAAUAAAAUUUCUCAGUUUUUUUCUAAAAAUAAAAUGCCUCAUUUUUUGUUUAUUAAAUCGAAAAUAAUUCUGUUUCGAUCUGUUAAUACUUCCUUAUCAGCAUGUUAGUAGAUUUCAAAUCUGAAUUUAUGACUUUAUUUUAUUUUAUUUAAAGUAUGCUCGCGACCCAGUUUGGUAAAGCCUUUUUUGUAACUUGUAGUACUUUAUUGUUAUUUUGUAUGUAAUAUACAGGGUGAUUCAGAUAAAAUAAAGAGCUUAACGAUCUGCCGAUGCAACCCAAAAAACAUUUCAUUUACGCCUUUAAUCCCAUUUAAAUUAGAAUUCGCAAGUUGAAUCCAAGUUAUCUAUCAUCUUAUGUCACUCUGACAUCAGCGCAGAGAACGAUAAUUAGUGUCAUUCAGUGCUUGAGUGCUACAGAAAGUAGAGAAGUCUUUUAGGUGAAAUUCCAAUACAAAAUGUAUAAAAGAAUGAAACAUUUAAGGAAAAAAGGUGUUCAAAAUGCUGGCCUCCGGUUUGUUUUUCGUGGUAGAAAAAAUGCCCAAUUAUGUGAUUCACAAAGAUGCGAGAUGCCACACCAAACAUUCACCAAAACAAUUCAUUGGAAAUGUGUUUCACUUAUCCACAAUGAAUUUUUCUGAGCAUAGUAAUCACUGUUGAGCACUAUCAUUGUUAUAAAAUUAGGCUUCAACACUGAAUAAAAUUUUCUGGAGAAA